AGACAAAAGGAGCCCGCGUCCUCCCGAGUGGGGCGGCCCACGCGGGGCCGGCAGGCGCAGCGAGCUGCCAACGGCCGCGUCCUCCGCGACCUCAGUUUCCCUCCGCGUCCCCAGUUUCCCUCCGCGUCCCCGAGCCCACCCCUUCCUCUGGACACCCGGAGCCACCCAAAGGCCCUGCCCUGCCGGAGGAUUCCGCGGGGUCGCGCCCCUUUCCGCUAUCCGUGCCCGCUGCCGCGCCUGGCGUCUCCCGAGCGCUCAGGAUGUCCUGGGGGCCUCCUGCAUUGGCGCGUUCCGUGACUGCAUUCAUCCCGGAGGAAGCUGAGGCCCAGAGAGGUCGGACUCACUCUAGGCCACACAGCUGGCAAGAGGCAGGGCCGGGAUUCGCUGCCAUCUCUGGAGGGCUCUGGACUCCGUUCUUCACCUCCGCCCUGCGGUCUCCCGGCGCUCUCCUGCAAGACAGCACUUGUGGGGCCAUCGGGCGGGGGAGGGCACAGAGAGGAGGAGCAGGCAACUGAACCCCAGCCUGGACCCGGGACCCUGCGACGGGGAGAUGAGGAGAAAACCAGGAUGAGGCCGGAGGGAGGAAAAGCGAGGCGCUUCCAGAGGCCUGCCUGUUCAGGGCCCAAGGCUGCUCCACGCCUGGAAGAGGCUUCCUCCCUUUCGCCGGGUUCCCACCAUCACACCUCCCUGGCAGCCCGCAUGCCCCAAGCUCAGAGAAUCCAGGACAGAAUCUCUGUCCCGCUGGCCGCAGGCUCUAGGUCAGGACCCUGGCCUCCUCCCAUUAGUGCUCAGCGGAGCCUCCACCCCAGCUUGUGCUAACUUCCCAGCCCAGCCUCGGGGCCCUGCAGGACCCGGCCGGGCUCUUCUCUCCACCUUCUUGCUCGGCACAUCAGGUCUUUGUGGCAACGACUGGCCCCAACCCAAAAAAAGGCCUUGGCUGAGUCUACUCCCACCUAUGCUGUCAUGCUCAGCACAGAGGUUUCCUCCUCCGGGAAGGCUUCUCUGAUGGCACGCCAUCUUAUCUUCUAUUCUGAGUUCUAAGCCCUUCUUCCAGGUGCCCAGUUAAUUCUUAAUUCUCUAGUGGGAUGCCCAUUUCCCCUACCAUGCUGGGAAGCCCUCCAGGGCAAGAUAUGUCUUAAUUACCUUCAAGUCCCUGAUCUCCAGGCAAGAGUGGGCCCAGAGGAAGCCCCACCCAGAGGGGAUGGGCCCGCCCAUUAUGUGAGGAGCCGGGAGCAACGUAGUGGCGCAGACAGGGAGUACGGGGUGAACUGCAUGGCCUCCCCUAGCUGGGCCUCGGUUUGUACCUCUGUGGUCUUCCUGCUCAACCCUGAAUAUAUCCUGCGCAGGGACUGCCAUUUGCCUUCUGACAGUGGGCGGGGACCUCUUCUUUCCAGCCCCGGCUCCUGGGAUGAACCUGGCUUUUAGCUACUCUCCUUUGACCCUUCAGUUCGUCUGAGAGCCACGAAAGGCAACACCUCUUGGGAAGAGAGACCUGUGGUUCUGAGGAUUGAGGAGUCCGAAAUGUGAGAAAGCGGGAAAGGGGAGGCCGUGGGAGUGGAGUAGGGGUAUUCGGCUGAGUAGGAGCGUCUCUGCUAGCUGGAUGCCGCUCAGCAGGAUACUAGCAUAUUUUAGCCGGUUUCCUCGCCUGUACCGUGAGGAUAAUAGUACCUUCCUUUUAGGGCAACUGAAGAUGAGAGCGAAUCUAAGCAAUGCUGCUUUCCCCCGACCUACCCUGCAAAAUGGAGGUGGAAGUGGAGAAUAAGGACAAGCAGCUGGCUGGGAGAGACUGGCUGCUGGAGAUCCAGCCAGCCCCCUGGCAAGGAGGGUCUGACUAUGCUGCCCAGGUCAGCCUCAAACAAUCCUCCUGCCUUGGCCUCCUGAGUUCCUGGGACUACAGAAAAAUGUUCUGGCAAAACUCUCAAAAUUGUAACCACCACUAAAGGACUAGACUGUGAACUUUCUGCUCUGCCACGCAACCGCCAAAAAACCU
rnacentral:lncRNA from 1 species